AUAGGUACCUGGCAGGGGAGAUACCAUCAUCACAAAGGUGGUUUUCCCAGGGCAAGGCUUAUCCAUUUCACUCCAGAUGUGCUGACCCCUGCAGAAAAGAAAAGAAAAAGAAAAAGAAAGAAGCAGGGACAGCUCCAGGCUUCUGUAGAGGGAGCUCUGAAACCAUCCCUC